rnacentral:rRNA from 1 species
AUUGAACGCUGGCGGCAUGCUUUACACAUGCCAGUCGAACGGCAGCGCGGGCUUCGGCCUGGCGGCGAGUGGCGAACGGGUGAGUAAUACAUCGGAACGUGCCCAGUAGUGGGGGAUAGCUCGGCGAAAGCCGGAUUAAUACCGCAUACGACCUGAGGGUGAAAGCGGGGGAUCUUUGGACCUCGCGCUAUUGGAGCGGCCGAUGGCAGAUUAGCUAGUUGGUGGGGUAAAGGCCUACCAAGGCGACGAUCUGUAGCUGGUCUGAGAGGACGACCAGCCACACUGGAACUGACACACGGCCCAGACUCCUACGGGAGGCAGCAGUGGGGAAUUUUGGACAAUGGGCGAAAGCCUGAUCCAGCAAUGCCGCGUGUGUGAUGAAGGCCUUCGGGUUGUAAAGCACUUUUGGCGGGAACGAAAAGGACUGUGCCAAUACCACGGUUCGAUGACGGUACCCGCAGAAUAAGCACCGGCUAACUACGUG